CUGGAAGAAAACCUUCCUGCUGAUGAAAGAAGAGGAAAGCCCAUUAUUUCACUCACUCCAGAAGCAUCAGAAGCCCUCUCCUGCCACCAUGUCCAGUGCUUGAUGCCCUGAGAAACCAAACAGCAUCUGAAGAGAGACCAACCAACAUCAUCAGCUGGGAGACAUAAAGACCAACAAAGUAAAGAGGAGAGUGAUGUGGGGGACAUCUGGAAAAUAGCAGUUUAUCAUAAAUACAGAUCAGCGAGGUGUGCAGUUCAUUCCAGACUCUCCAGAAAGCCACACAGUGGAAAGCUGCCUCCCAGUUUCUUCCCUUUUUCCACAAGACCAUGGUGAACUCGCUUAUCCAGCAGCUCAGUGAUCUUUUCUGCCAUGGGAUUGCACUGACAUGUUCCACCAAGAGUAUCUGUGUCUGCCAAAAGCAGCAAGGUGUCUCCAUGCCAGCAAACUCCUCCUGCCUGAUCAGACCUGGAGAUUUCUUGACUAAGUAAUUGAUUUUUCCAGUGCUUGUUCACAGCACAGAGGUGAGCAGGGAUUUUGUGUAUGGGGGAGGGGGGGGUGUGUAUUCACAAACCUAACUGGGAAUCUUGCUGUCAACAUCUGUUUUGAGAAAGGUCAUUUUUAGAAACAGCAUGAAAUUAGGCUCUUCAGGCUCAUGUCAGAAAUUUGGGUGCAUUAUUUAAGCAACAACCUCUGGAUUUUGUCCCCACUAAGAGCACUGCACUUUGAACAAGCUGAUGACAUGGGAUCUGGUAAUUACAGGUGGCUCCUCCCUGUGCAGGGAGGCCUGGAUGUCCCCAGCAUUGUCCCUGCCCUCUGCCCAUGAACUUGUGCUGGACAGUGCCUGCAAGCAGCUGCUGAGAGUGGCUGUGCCUGAGGCAAGGGAUCAGCACAGAGCUCAUCCUUCAGUCCUUGGGGCUCAGUUCUUCUCCAGGAUUCUGGUGAGGAGUUCAUUCAGCCGGUUCACCAUUGGCCUGGGAUCCUCAUUCAGUCCUG